rnacentral:rRNA from 1 species
GACGAACGCUGGCGGCGUGCUUAACACAUGCAAGUCGAACGGUGAAGCGCCUUCCUUUUUGGUGGGUGUGGAUGAGUGGCGAACGGGUGAGUAACACGUGAGUAACCUGCCCCCUUCUUCUGGAUAACCGCAUGAAAGUGUGGCUAAUACGGGAUAUUCUGGGUCUGUCGCAUGAUGGGUCUGGGAAAGAUAUUGUUUCGGUGGGGGAUGGGCUCGCGGCCUAUCAGCUUGUUGGUGGGGUGAUGGCCUACCAAGGCGGUGACGGGUAGCCGGCCUGAGAGGGUGGACGGUCACACUGGGACUGAGGCACGGCCCAGACUACUACGGGAGGCAGCAGUGGGGAAUAUUGCACAAUGGGCGCAAGCCUGAUGCAGCGACGCCGCGUGAGGGAUGGAGGCCUUCGGGUUGUGAACCUCUUUCGCCAGUGAAGCAGGCCUGCCUCGUUUGUGGGUGGGUUGACGGUAGCUGGAUAAGAAGCGCCGGCUAACUACGUG